AAGGACAGAAAAGUGAAGGCAAAAU
rnacentral:piRNA from 1 species